ACGCAGCUGACGAGUCCCAAAUAAGAUGAAACGCGCGUCCUGGAU
rnacentral:hammerhead_ribozyme from 1 species